GUCUCCCACCAUAUCACCCUGAGCAUACCCAUCUCAUUUGAUUUUGGAAGCUAAGCAGGGUUGGGCCUGGUUAGUAUUUAGAAGGAAGAAAUUAAUUCAAAGCAAAGAAAGACA
rnacentral:rRNA from 1 species